GAUAGAGUCUUCCCCUUCGGGGGACAAAGUGACAGGUGGUGCAUGGUUGUCGUCAGCUCGUGUCGUGAGAUGUUGGGUUAAGUCCCGCAACGAGCGCAACCCUUAAGCUUAGUUGCCAGCAUUAAGUUGGGCACUCUAAGUUGACUGCCGGUGACAAACCGGAGGAAGGUGGGGAUGACGUCAAAUCAUCAUGCCCCUUAUGAUUUGGGCUACACACGUGCUACAAUGGACAAUACAAAGGGCAGCUAAACCGUGAGGUCAUGCAAAUCCCAUAAAGUUGUUCUCAGUUCGGAUUGUAGUCUGCAACUCGACUACAUGAAGCUGGAAUCGCUAGUAAUCGUAGAUCAGCAUGCUACGGUGAAUACGUUCCCGGGUCUUGUACACACCGCCCGUCACACCACGAGAGUCUGUAACACCCGAAGCCGGUGGAGUAACCAUUUAUGGAGCUAGCCGUCGAAGGUGGGACAAAUGAUUGGGGUGAAGUCGUAACAAGGUAGCCGUAUCGGAAGGUGC
rnacentral:rRNA from 1 species